rnacentral:rRNA from 1 species
UACGUAGGUGGCAAGCGUUUGUCCGGAUUUACUGGGCGUAAAGAGCGCGCAGGCGGUCGUUCAAGUCGCGUGUGAAAGCCCCCGGCUCAACUGGGGAGGGUCACGCGAUACUGAUCGACUCGAAGGCAGGAGAGGGUAGUGGAAUUCCCGGUGUAGCGGUGAAAUGCGUAGAUAUCUGGAGGAACACCGGUGGCGAAGGCGGCGUUCUGGACUGCAACUGACACUGAGGAACGAAAGCCAGGGUAGCAAACGGG